rnacentral:lncRNA from 1 species
AUUGAGCUGCAUUGCUUGUUGAUAUUCUAUGAAACAGAUGUGUGAUGAAUUAUGAUUGUGGUUAUGAUGCUAAGCAGGAUGUAUGAAUGAAUGUUGUGUGAGAAAGCAUGUUGUGUGAGGUUUUGAGCUCCAGAGUUUUUAUGAUUAUAUGAAUUGUUCACAGGAAAGCAUGAAUGAUAUUGCUUUAAUCUCGAUGAUUGAUUGAAUUGCAUGUGAAUGUCAGAUGAUCAAGGCCAUUUUUGAAAACCCUUCUCUAGCCAAAUUUUCACCCACAAGAGCUUAUCAUAUUAUACCCUUUUUGAACCUUAGCCUUAAACAGGAUGUGAACCUUUGUCUUGAAAUUCUUUACCUUGAGUUGGGAUGAGCUUAACUGUAUGUGAUGAAAAGGUUUAAGUUUGGGGUUGCAUGGGGGAAAUUGAAAAGCUGUUAAGAAGCAUUGAGCUCAAAUGUUGAGAAAGAAAAAUGCAUGAGAAAAAAAAAAGAAAAGAAGAAAAGCAUGAAAAUGAGCUCAAUGCAAAAGAAAAGGGAAGAAGUUGGGAAUGAGAAAGUUUGGUGAGAAAGAGAAUUGUGCUUAAAUGUUAAAUAUUAUGAUAGCUCUCUUAACUCAAUGAUUUUGUAUUCCAGAAAAACCAAUUCUUCUUGUUAGCCCAACCUCAUUACAAGCCUUGGAAAAGUCCUUUUGAUGGCAUUUGCAUGUAAAGAUGUUGAUUGUUUGAGAUGAAUGGCAAUUUUAUUUCUUGUGACUUGUGAAUGAUAGAGAGUUGGAGUGUCACCCUAAACACUUGAGUGAUUGAGUGAAACACUUGCUUGGUAUGAAUUGUUAAUUUUCAU